UAGAGUUUGGUUAGGAUUUGAUUUAGGAUUAGGAUUUGGUUAGGAUUUGAUUUAGGAUUUAGGGUUUGGUUUAGAGUUUGAUUAGGAUUUUAUUUAGGAUUAGGAUUUUAUUUAGGGUUUAGAAUUUGAGUUAGGAUUUGAUUAGGAUUUGAUUUAGGAUUAGUGUUUGAUUAGGAUUUGAUUAGGAUUUGAUUUAGGAUUUUUUUAGGAUUUGAUUUAGAGUUUAAGAUUUGGUUUAGAGUUUGGUUAGGAUUUAAUUUAGGAUUUAGGAUUGGGUUUAGGAUUUGGUUUAGGAUUUGAUUUAGAAUUUGGUUAGGAUUUGGUUUAGGAUUUGGUUGAGGUUUGGUUUAAGGUUUGUUUAGGAUUUGGUUUAGGGUUUAGGGUUUGAUUUAGGAUUUAGAAUUUUAUUAGGAUUUAAGAUUUAAUUAAUUUUGACUUAAAGUUUAAAUGAAAUCCAAUAGGAUUUUAACUAGAAUUAAAUUAAGAUUGAAUUGAGAUGUAUUUGAAAGAUAUUUGUGAUCGUUCUAAUAUUUCUUGAAGAUUUCUUAUUGUUUCUUUGAAAUUUCUUUGAGGUUUUUUUGAAUUUUAUUAAAGCUUUUUUAGAAUUAUUAUGGUCUAAUUAGAGUUUAGUUAGUAUUCUAUUAUAAUUAGAAUUUUGUUGUUGCAAUUUCCAUUCUACCUUCUACAGCCAUAUGUCCAAAGCAUUUUCAAGGA
rnacentral:lncRNA from 1 species